rnacentral:rRNA from 1 species
GACGAACGCUGGCGGCGUGCUUAACACAUGCAAGUCGAACGGUGAAGCGCUUUCCUUUUUGGUUGGUGUGGAUGAGUGGCGAACGGGUGAGUAACACGUGAGUAACCUGCCCCCUUCUUCUGGAUAACCGCAUGAAAGUGUGGCUAAUACGGGAUAUUCUGCGCCUGCUGCAUGGUGGGUGUGGGAAAGAUUGUGCCUUUGGGUGUUUUCGGUGGGGGAUGGGCUCGCGGCCUAUCAGCUUGUUGGUGGGGUGAUGGCCUACCAAGGCGGUGACGGGUAGCCGGCCUGAGAGGGUGGACGGUCACACUGGGACUGGGACACGGCCCAGACUCCUACGGGAGGCAGCAGUGGGGAAUAUUGCACAAUGGGCGCAAGCCUGAUGCAGCGACGCCGCGUGAGGGAUGGAGGCCUUCGGGUUGUGAACCUCUUUCGCCAGUGAAGCAGGCCUGCUCCGUGUGGGUGGGUUGACGGUAGCUGGAGAAGAAGCGCCGGCUAACUACGUG